rnacentral:rRNA from 1 species
UACGGAGGGUGCAAGCGUUAAUCGGAAUUACUGGGCGUAAAGCGCAUGUAGGCUGUAUGGCAAGUUGGGGGUGAAAUCCCACGGCUCAACCGUGGAACUGCCUUCAAAACUACCAAACUAGAGUGCGAGAGAGGAUAGCGGAAUUCCAGGUGUAGGAGUGAAAUCCGUAGAUAUCUGGAAGAACAUCAGUGGCGAAGGCGGCUAUCUGGCUCGUAACUGACGCUGAGAUGCGAAAGCGUGGGUAGCAAACAGG